UACGUAGGGUGCGAGCGUUAAUCGGAAUUACUGGGCGUAAAGCGUGCGCAGGCGGUCCGCAAAGUCUGAUGUGAAAGCCCCGGGCUCAACCUGGGAACUGCAUUUGUGACUGCAUCGCUGGAGUGCGGCAGAGGGGGAUGGAAUUCCGCGUGUAGCAGUGAAAUGCGUAGAUAUGCGGAGGAACACCGAUGGCGAAGGCAAUCCCCUGGGCCUGCACUGACGCUCAUGCACGAAAGCGUGGGGAGCAAACAGG
rnacentral:rRNA from 1 species